rnacentral:lncRNA from 1 species
AGCAAAGUCAGUGUCAAGCUAUGCUUACUCUGGAUGCUUACCAUAGACUAACCUUGAAGAACUUGGAUGUGAACCACCUUACAAAACUUGAUCUGGAGACCAAAGGAUGAAGAUGAUGCUUGGACUGUAACUUCCAGAAUUUGUCAUUGAAGCAAACAGUUUCAGAAGAUGCAUAAGGAGAACACACAGAACAAUGGUGCAAACUUUCCAGUCAAAAUUGGAAAGCAAAACAGGGAUUAGUUCUCAGCAACAAAAAUGUAAAGAAAUGGAGUGGAACCCUGAGGAGCAGAUGGAGCUGGGAGAGAUGCAUGGAUAUAUCUACAUUGAGAAACCCCUUGGAAUAUCUUUGCUGUUAGGACAGAGUUGUCUUUGCUGUUGUAGGUUGCCAGAUGUUUAGAGGGGAGGCAGGU